rnacentral:misc_RNA from 1 species
GAUGAAGAACGUAGCGAAAUGCGAUAAGUAAUGUGAAUUGCAGAAUUCAGUGAAUCAUCGAAUCUUUGAACGCACCUUGCGCUCCUUGGUAUUCCGAGGAGCAUGCCUGUUUGAGUGUCAUGAAAUUCUCAACCUUUUCAGCUUUCUUUGUUGAUCAGGCUUGGAUGUGGGAGUAUGCGGGCUUCCCAGAAGUCGGCUCUCCUGAAAUGCAUUAGCGGGACCUUUGUUGCCUGGCUUUGGUGUGAUAAUUAUCUACGCCAUUGUAGUCAAGCAGCUUAAAAUGAGGUUUCAGCUUCUAACCGUCUCCCCUGAGACAACUUUUUGACAAUUUGACCUCAAAUCAGGUAGGACUACCCGCUGAACUUAAGCAUAUCAAUAAGCGGAGGA